GACGAACGCUGGCGGCGUGCUUAACACAUGCAAGUCGAACGAAGAGCGAUGGAAGCUUGCUUCUAUCAAUCUUAGUGGCGCACGGGUGAGUAACGCGUAAUCAACCUGCCCUUCAGAGGGGGACAACAGUUGGAAACGACUGCUAAUACCGCAUACGAUCUAAUCUCGGCAUCGAGGAUAGAUGAAAGGUGGCCUCUACAUGUAAGCUAUCACUGAAGGAGGGGAUUGCGUCUGAUUAGCUAGUUGGAGGGGUAACGGCCCACCAAGGCGAUGAUCAGUAGCCGGUCUGAGAGGGUGAACGGCCACAUUGGGACUGAGACACGGCCCAGACUCCUACGGGAGGCAGCAGUGGGGAAUCUUCCGCAAUGGACGAAAGUCUGACGGAGCAACGCCGCGUGAGUGAUGACGGCCUUCGGGUUGUAAAGCUCUGUUAAUCGGGACGAAAGGCCUUCUUGCGAAUAGGGAGAAGGAUUGACGGUACCGGAAUAGAAAGCCACGGCUAACUACGUG
rnacentral:rRNA from 1 species